UCGUUUCUCUUUAUGUACCAACGACAUAAUGUCCCGAGUUUUUGGGAUGCGUGAUUAGAAAGCAUUCCGAUGGCGGGCCGCCAGGUUCGCCAGUCACGGGACAGGUACACAUGACUUUGGAUCAUAUUCGCCGCGCUUGGAUUAUCUCCAGUAUCAACGACACGCCGCGCGUGCAACGAGACAUUGUACAACAUCCAAAAACAAUUUUAGCAUCCUCUUACUGUUAGCUACUUGAAAGAUGUCGGGAAACUUCUUUGAAAUAUUUGGAAACUCUACCGGAAUUGUUUCAGGACGUUGUUGGUAACGUUGUGAAGAGGAGCGGCAGACGAACGGCCCGUAGCGCGGAGGUACCUCGAGAGCGAACUCCAGAAGCUAAUACAACUAUUUGCGGAGUCCUUUGUCAACCGUACCCUUUAAAAGCUGGCUUCCUUGUUUAACUGGAACAAACGCUACUAAUUGAACGCUAAUGAAUCUGUAACUGCACAUUUCUCCGCCACUGUCAACAUCGUUCUACUGGUCUGGAACCUCUGGCCGAAGACAAUCAGAUUGUUUAUUUGAACCGACGCGACAAAAGAAACGGUAACAAACGAAAACUGAACAACAUAUGUAGUUGCAAUACUAACCGUGCUAUCCUUUAGGGCUCUGAGAUAGGGGAGGCGGCGAUUCUCCGCCAUUUUGCAGUUCCCGUUCCGUUUACUAUCGUCGCAUUUCCAGUUCGAAUCGUGCAAAAUAAUGCAAAAACAUUAAAGUUAAAGUUAAUCGGUUCUCGUUACAAUGUGUCGUGACAAAUUUUUAUUGUCCAGCGUAUCUCUCCGGCU